rnacentral:rRNA from 1 species
UACGAAGGGGGGCUAGCGUUGCUCGGAAUGACUGGGCGUAAAGGGCGCGUAGGCGGCUUGCACCGUCAGAUGUGAAAUUCCUGGGCUUAACCUGGGGGGCUGCAUUUGAUACGUGUGGGCUUGAGUGCGGAAGAGGGUCGUGGAAUUCCCAGUGUAGAGGUGAAAAUUCGUAGAUAUUGGGAAGAACACCGGUGGCGAAGGCGGCGACCUGGUCCGUGACUGACGCUGAGGCGCGAAAGCGUGGGGAGCAAAACAGG